rnacentral:rRNA from 1 species
GUGCCUAAUARAUGCUGGUCGAGCGGACAGAUGGGAGCUUGCUCCCUGAUGUUAGCGGCGGACGGGUGAGUAACACGUGGGUAACCUGCCUGUAAGACUGGGAUAACUCCGGGAAACCGGGGCUAAUACCGGAUGCUUGAUUGAACCGCAUGGUUCAAUUAUAAAAGGUGGCUUUUAGCUACCACUUACAGAUGGACCCGCGGCGCAUUAGCUAGUUGGUGAGGUAACGGCUCACCAAGGCAACGAUGCGUAGCCGACCUGAGAGGGUGAUCGGCCACACUGGGACUGAGACACGGCCCAAACUCCUACGGGAGGCAGCAGUAGGGAAUCUUCCGCAAUGGACGAAAGUCUGACGGAGCAACGCCGCGUGAGUGAUGAAGGUUUUCGGAUCGUAAAACUCUGUUGUUAGGGAAGAACAAGUACCGUUCGAAUAGGGCGGUACCUUGACGGUACCUAACCAGAAAGCCACGGUUAACUACGUGCCAGCCGCCGCGGUAAUACGGUCAUAGC